CCUACGGGUGGCAGCAGUGAGGAAUAUUGGUCAAUGGGCGCGAGCCUGACCCAGCAAAGUAGCGUGAAGGAUGACUGCCCUACGGGUUGUACACUUCUUUUAUAAAGGAAUAAAGUGAGGCAAGUGUGCCUUUUUGUCUGUACUUUAUGAAUAAGGAUCGGCUAACUCAGUGACAGCAGCCGCGGUAAUAUGGAGGAUCCGAGCGUGAUCCGGAAUUAUUGGGUUUAAAGGGAGCGUAGAUGGGUUGUUAAGUCAGUUGUGAAAGUUUGCGGCUCAACCGUAAAAUUGCAAUGGAUACUGGCAGUCUUGAGUACAGUUGAGGUAGGCGGAAUUCGUGGUGUAGCGGUGAAAUGCUUAGAUAUCACGAAGAACUCCGAUUGCGAAGGCAGCUUACUAAACUGCCACUGACAUUGAUGCUCGAAAGUGUGGGUAUCAAACAGGAUUAGAUACCCUGGUAGUC
rnacentral:rRNA from 1 species